GGUUUUUUGCGAAACCUAUAUAAGUAGGUAAUUUAUAUAACAUCAUAGCAGGUACAGAACUGUGGUCUUGUACAACUUGCAUUAAAAAAGUGCACUUUGUUCAUAUUUGGGGAUCGUGAAGAUCCUACUCGCGAGUAUUUGCACUCGGAAGGGUUAUGAUGACUAUAUAAUAAUCAGACAUAGUACGAUAAGGUAGUAUGUCUAAAGGGAAACAGCCCAGAACAAGAGUUAAUAAGGUUCCAAAAUUAUUGUUAAGUGAAAAUAAGGAAGUUUCAAUCCUAUACGGCCAGGAAAUAGGCUUAGAUGCGGCCAUUUUUUGAAGACCUCGUAACAGAGCACUGGUUUAGUAAAUUAUUUUUAUAAUUUAUAUUGAUAAAAGCACCAAAAAUUUAACGGAUCUAAACAAUAUACCGAGACCUUGUCCAUAUAUAUAUAUAUAUCUAAGUUGUAUAUUGUAUUUAUGGGGUAGCGGAACAUUGGGCAAAUCUAAGAUUUUUUCUUUUUAAGACUUAAGAUAAGAUAACCCAAGUGAUAAUGCUGACAUGAGUAACGAUAAAGGGAAUGAACUAUUCCCUCGCCUAAAGCUUAUGGUAUUUACUUAAAGUAACGGCCUCUAAGUUUAUGAACCUAAAGGACUAAACGAUGAGAAAAUCUACCACUUAGAACAAACAACCUUUGUGCAUAGAUUUAUAUAACUAUAGGUUUUUUGCUAAAGUGACAAGGGUUCUUGAAAAUUUAAGUGGUGCAUCAUGGAUAAUAUGGAGGAGGUAAUCUCCUGCCUACUAUGGUGUAAAAAGACCGUACCUAGAAACUACCCCCAGUAAGUUAGUAGAGAAUACGAAGGCGUUUGAGUGAACAAUCAUUAAAGAACUCGGCCAAACUAA
rnacentral:rRNA from 1 species